GGGGUGCUCGAGUGGCGAACGGGUGAGUAACACGUGAUAACCUGCCCUUGACUUUGGGAUAACUCAGGAAACUGGGGCUAAUACCGGAUAGGAGCUCCUGCUGCAUGGUGGGGGUUGGAAAGUUUCGGCGGUUGGGGAUGGACUCGCGGCUUAUCAGCUUGUUGGUGGGGUAGUGGCUUACCAAGGCUUUGACGGGUAGCCGGCCUGAGAGGGUGACCGGCCACAUUGGGACUGAGAUACGGCCCAG
rnacentral:rRNA from 1 species